rnacentral:lncRNA from 1 species
UCGCUUGGCUUUAGUCAGUGGCGAACCGUUUGCGGUAUCGCUUUGUGUAUAGUACGCGAUUGCGCGUUCACCUGCCAUUUUAUUUCGAUCUGUUCAUAUCUAUAUAUAUAUAUCUAUCUAUAUAUAUAUAUAAAUAUGUAUAUAUAAAUGUAUAUAUGUAUAAUAUAUAUAUAUGUGUGUGUAAUAUACACAUUACGCCCCAAAACAGAAGUCACAAUAUCGGCAAGAAAAGAGACAUUUAAAUUAAACCACAUAGAAAAACAUCUGUGCAUUAUAAUAAUACGAGAAAGAGAAAGAGAGAGAAAGAGAUCGUCUGACUUGGUAUCUUCCAACAAUUUUAGUUAUUUCUCGUGAAUACUUAUCAGUGUUCUACAAUUAUACAUAGAAGAUAUAAAAAUAUAUAUAUAUAUAAAAUAAAUAUAUAUAUGCAUUAUAUUUACAUACACGACACGCGCACAUAUGUAUAUAAAUAUAUUAUAUAAAUAGUUAUCGUUUUUUGUGUAUGAAAUAAACGCAAGGAUCGGAAUCGCACGUGUGCAUUACUGCAUCUAUACCAAAUUGAAUCAAACCGAUAUUAAUUUCAAUUGGUUGUGUUAUUACUCGUCGUGUUGUUAGUUUUCUAUUUCCUCUGGAUUACUUUAAUUAACUGUGUAAAAGUAAAGAAGAAAUACAUCAAGAUAUCUUGUUGUUAAUAAGAAGGAAAAUAAAAAAAGUGGAAAAAAUAGAAGAAAAGAGAAAGAAAAACAAAAAGAGAGACAGAGAGAGAGAUAUCACGAAAGUAGAGCGAACCAAUAGAAGAGUACUUUAGUGUUUAACGUGUAUUCAUGUGUGCGUGUACAUAUACAUGUGUGUAUGUGCAAAAGAGGGAGAGGCUGGACCUGACCUCAAUACGAGAAUCGAGCGUUAUUCUCGAAGGCCACUAAGGAAGUAUUAUACCACUGCUACUACUACUACUACUACUACAUAUUCAAGAAAAA